rnacentral:rRNA from 1 species
UAGGGAAUAUUGGGCAAUGGGUGAGAGCCUGAUCCAGCCAUGCCGCGUGCAGGAAGAAGGCGUUAUGCGUUGUAAACUGCUUUUGCCAGGGGAUAAAAAGACCGUGCGCGGUUAAUUGAAGGUACCUGGUGAAUAAGCCACGGCUAACUACGUGCCAGCAGCCGCGGUAAUACGUAGGUGGCAAGCGUUGUCCGGAUUUACUGGGCGUAAAGGGCGCGUAGGCGGCAUGACAAGUCACUUGUGAAAUCUCUGGGCUUAACCCAGAACGGCCAAGUGAUACUGUCGCGCUAGAGUGCAGAAGGGGCAAUCGGAAUUCUUGGUGUAGCGGUGAAAUGCGUAGAUAUCAAGAGGAACACCUGAGGUGAAGACGGGUUGCUGGGCUGACACUGACGCUGAGGCGCGAAAGCCAGGGGAGCAAACGGGAUUAGAUACCCCCGUAGUCCCUGAGCGGGCUGGCAAGGCGCAU